GUGCUCCUAAUUUCCACGGUUACGCGUUAUGGGUGAUUAAAACUGACAGGAGUGGACAGUGGUUCCAUGGCCAGGAUGGGCACGGGUUUGCUGACCAUUCCUCAGGAGUCAUCACACCAGGAAGCCGGGACAGGAACAAGAUGUGCCUCUGAGGUUUGCCUUUCAAGGGGGCAGCAAGCAGCCCUCAGGGCUGUUGGCAGGAACUGGACAAGCUGAGGCCAGGGGCUGGGGGGCAGCUCAACCCCGUUGACCACGUCGACCCAUUGACUCGGUUUUCCUCCUGGGAAUACGUUUGGGGCAAUGCCCAGACCAGUCCUCAGUACCCUCACAGUGCCUGACGCUGCUGGACAAGGUAGGGGCUCCGCGAGGAUUUCCAUUUCUUGCUUGUUCCCUGAACACUCGCUCCUGCCAGGCCCUGUGCCAGGUUCUGGGGACACAGCAAUGAUGCAGUCCCCAAAUCAGAGGCGUCCACAGUCUGGGAAGGACACAGACACCCUAGCAAACACCACCUGUGCAGAGACAUAAGCAGAGUGGCCUCUGGAGAAAGCAGGGGCCUCCCGGAGGAGCUGGGCCUUCCAGGAGCCAGCCUUCCUGGCGGAGUGGGAACAUUCACCCGACACAGCCAAGCCCUCUGUCAAAUCUCAACCCAGAGUCCUCCUCCACCAGGAAGACUUCCAUGAUUGCUCCAGCCCCUGCACCAUCUCUCUCCUAUAAAUGGCUAUAAGGUU
rnacentral:lncRNA from 1 species